UGGAGGCAGCCGUGGGGAAUUUUGCGCAAUGGGAGAAACCCUGACGCAGCAACGCCGCGUGGAGGAUGAAGUCCCUUGGGAUGCAAACUCCUUUCGAUCAGGACGAUUAUGACGGUACCGAAAGAAGAAGCACCGGCUAACUCUGUGCCAGCAGCUGCGGUAAUACAGAGGGUGCAAGCGUUGUUCGGAACUAUUGGGCGUAAAGGGCGCGUAGGCGAUGCGGUAAGUCUGCAGUGAAAUCUCUGGACUCAACUCAGAGUCUACUAUGGAAACUGCCGUGCUUGAGUGUGGAAGAGGUGAGUGGAAUUCCCGGUGUAGCGGUGAAAUGCGUAGAUAUCGGAAAGAACACCUGUGACGAAAGCGGCUCACUGGACCACAACUGACGCUGAGGCGCGAAAGCUAAAAGAGCAAACAGGAUUAGAAACCCGAGUAGUCC
rnacentral:rRNA from 1 species